GACGAACGCUGGCGGCGUGCUUAACACAUGCAAGUCGAGCGGUAAGGCCCUUUCGGGGGUACGACGAGCGGCGAACGGGUGAGUAACACGUGGGUGACCUGCCCUCAGCUCUGGGAUAAGCCUGGGAAACCGGGUCUAAUACUGGAUAUGACUCCAUGACGCAUGUUGUGGGGUGGAAAGCCUUGUGCGGCUGAGGAUGGGCCCGCGGCCUAUCAGCUUGUUGGUGGGGUGANGGCC
rnacentral:rRNA from 1 species